AAUCCCUUCUCUCUUCCUAGUUUCAAUUUCAAACCCUAACUCUCUCGAUCUCUCUGUUUGAACUAGCUUCUGUAAUUUCAACUGCAACACACAUGGCACAGCAAAAGACGGACUACUAGUCGAUCUAUCUAUACGAGCAGAUGGACAACCGCUGAAAUUCUGAUUGAUUUGGGAAGAAAUGGCGCCCUAAGCUUAUCCUCGAACAACCUCACAAAAUCGAUCCCUUCCGGCAUCUCAACCACUAUCGCUCCUCCCUCUCCACCUUGACGCUGAUGUCGCCGAAAGAUCUGUACCAUUUUCUCGGAGAGCCGUUUUCUUUGGGGUUGAGGUGAUAACCCACUUCGUACUGUGCUCCAACCGAAGGUUUGGUCCUUCUCCUUUAUUUUUCCAAAAUCUGAUCUAAAUAGGUUUGUUGCUCUCUCUCUCUCUCUCUCUCUCUCUCUCUCUCUCUCUCUCUCUCUCUCUCUCUUUCACACACACACACACACACACAGUCGAUCUGCCAUUGAACAGGAGAUUGAACCAUAGCACGAACUCAGCCACAAACCUAGUUGUAGUGGCGAUUAUCUUAAAUAUUUGACUGACAUAUAUGUACGGUUAAGCAAUUUUAGGGUUGGAUUUUGGGGGUUUGUGAUUCUGCAUUGUUUAUUAGAAAUUAGUGGUUUUUUUUUGUUUAUGUGAUUUCUGGGGUUUGUGAUUCUAGGAUUUGGGCUUUUGUGUCGAUUCAUUCCAACCUACUUGCUAUUUGUCUCAAAAUUCGCUAUUCGGAGUUGGUAGUAUAUUUUGUUCUCUUCAUUGAAUGUGCCGAUCAACAUUCCAAUCCUGAACCACAUUGUUUGACUCAGUGUAAUUGAGUUGUGAACUUGUGAUCUAGGUAUAUUUUUGAAAUGCCAGGAUUAUUUUGCUAAUCCUGACUUUGGAUAAUCAUGUGAUUUUUGCUUGUUCUUUACCUACUGUUCUGAAUUUGGAAUCUGUAGCAAAAUAGAAGAAGAAAACAGUUUGUUUCUACUUAUCAGUUGACUGGUAAAUGCUCGGAAGUUUGAGAUUGCCGAUGACAUGUUCUGGAAGGAUGGUAAGCCUGUCCAAAUUAUUAGUGGGGAAAUGCAUUAUUUCCGGAUCCUCCCUGAGUAUUGGUAAGAUAGGCUAUUGAGGGCAAAGGCAUUUGGUUUGAAUACUAUUCAGACUUAUGUUCCUUGGAAUCUGCAUGAACCAAGUCGGGGGGAGCUUGAUUUCGAAGGCAUUGCAGAUAUUGUCUCUUUUUUAAAGCAAUGCCAGAAGCUGGAUCUCCUAAGUGGGAUUUGUGGGGAUUUCCUCCAUGGUUACUCGCCGUUGAACCAGCUCUGAGAUUGAGAUCAUCAGACCCUGCUUUCCUUUACUUGGUACAUUUUCCAUUUGUAUAAUCUCAUAUGUUAGAUAUCCUAGCAUAUGAAGGUUGUAAAAAUAAAUAAAAAAUUGGGUAACUGGGUUCAUGUGACUGGUCGAGUUUCAAUAGCUAGUGUUGCUCGUCCUUGUUCCCCGAAAGCAAUGAGGUAGUUGUUUAUAUGCAUUAUUUCAU